CUCACAUGCAGCCGGUGGGACUCUAACCCGGGACAACCUCUUGGGGAAACGGGAUCCGCCAAGGUUGGACACAGAUGUGGAUUAACUGACCCCAGGGGUUGCAUCCACAGGAGGAGAGAACAGAGAGAGAGGGCAGCGAGAAGGCACUGCACGCAACGGGAUGAGGGGUGGGUCCCUAAAACACGAAAAUCCGGCUCCGAAAGACAGCUCACCGUGCGAUCCCGUUUACCUGAGGUUCCUAAACGGGAACCCCGGCCCGUGGUGCUCUCUGUGACCCUGGAGCUCGCUGCCACCCUGGAGCUGCAUAGAGGCAUAUGCUCAGAAGCUCGCAGGGCUGCUCCUGCCCUCUGGCUGGGACCACUUCUCCUCACUCACCAUCCUGGGCGUCUGGGCUCUGGCCAUGCGGGGAGCAUCCCAAGUCCCGCCACGUCUGGAAAGGAAGGAUGGAGUCUCCUUUGUCCGCUUCUGCUCUUGAAGAGGGAACCCCGACUGUCCUUCACGGACCAGAGAAUGUCAAGACAGCCUCAUUCAAGUAUAAAGAAGGCCAGCACGUCCACCAAGAACUGCAGAGGAAGACAAGGUGGGAGGACCUGAAGUGAAGCAGGCCCAUCAGGAUGGAGCGCUCACUAGGAUGAACCCAGGCCGGGAGUUUCCAAAGAUUGAAGCCACGGACGGAAUUGGGAAGUAAUGCCCAACAGGUUUAACUACAUCGACGAUUCAUAACUAAAAAGAAAAGAGACAAGGAAAAAUAGUAGAUCAGAAAAGCCAUUACUACAACAUGAGAGAGUUGGUAUGGAAAUGAAUACUCAUUCCAGUUUGUAAGAAAAAUGUCAGCACCUCAGUCGACAAACAGGUCAAGGACGUGAUCAAACAAUUUAUACAAAAAGAUCUACAGUUUUCAAACAAAUUUGUAGAAGUCUUGUCUUUUUUAAUAGUUUCUACAUCCAAAUUAAAAAAAAUAAUAAUGAUUGGGGUGCCCGGGUGGCUCAGUUGGUUAAGUGUCUGACUCCUGAUUUUGGCUCAGAUCAUGAUCUCCGGGUCGUGAGAUCGAGCUCUGCAUCAGGCGCUACGCUCAACGCAGAGUCUGCGUGUCCCUCUCCCUCUGCUUCUCCUCCACUCUCCAAUAAAUAAAAUCUUUUUUAAAAAUAUAGAUAAAUA
rnacentral:lncRNA from 12 species